rnacentral:rRNA from 1 species
CCGUUGAACUCCGUUGGAGGUGCUGUGUUAAUACGUUGUGGUCUAUCUUUAGCCGGUAUGAUUGUGCUUAACGGGUGCGUUGGUUGUUUCUUAAGUCAGAGGUGAAAGACUACUGCUCAACCGUAGUAAGCCUUUGAAACUUGGAAACUUGAGUGCAGGAGAUGUGAGUGUAAUUCCUAGUGUAGCGGUGAAAUGCGUAGAUAUUAGGAGUAACACCAGUUGCGAAGGCGGCUCUCUGGACUGUAACUGACACUGAGGCACGAAAGCGUGGGGAGCAAACAGGAUUAGAUACCGUGUAGUC